rnacentral:lncRNA from 1 species
UUUGAUUGGAACUUUAAUUUGGUCUCACCCACAAAGCAGUUUCGUAGGAAUUGCUUCAGCUUGUCCUACUGCUCGUCCACACUGGAGCGCGCUUGGUUGUGAUAAUCAUGGCUCUUUGCACGAGUAUCUAACUGCAUGUUUGUGCGAUUCUGUAAAACGUAGUAUCCAAGUAAUUAGGUAGUGAGCUCAUAGGCAACGAUCACAGUUGUUACGUUCCUAGUUUAGUUGAUUCGAACACUCACUUCAUCAUUAUUAUUUUUAUUUUUAUUUUGCCUUGAUAACGUUACUCUUAACAACGCAACUUAAUUUUUGAUUAGUUUCCAGUUUGAUGGCAUGCUCGCAUACCAGUCUGACUUUUUUUUUUUUUUUUUUUUCUCUCUCUAUCUUUGUCUUUUCUUCUUUUAAUUUUUAAUUUUCACAAUCCCGAUCUUCUGCCAAGGAAUUGUACCUUUGUGCAAAAUUACAUAUCAUUUUUCUUCGCUUAAACGAGUGCGAUAGUAUUGAGGGUGGAUGUCUUGAAUCCCUGUUGCACGAUGCAGCAGUGAAGUCAUGGUUAAAAUUUGCACAUAAAUCUUCUUUUCUCAUGAAUAUUUUCUAUUUCUUUUGUAGGCCAUUGGAAAUACUCAUGAUAGUUGAUAGCUGAUGGAAAAACAGGAUAGAAUGUUCCCACGACUUUGAUUUCUUCCCAGAGAGCUCAUAAGUAUGUGAACUAUUUUUCGAGUUUUGAAUACUCUAAAUGAAGAUAAAAUCCGAAUCAGUUCGCCAACAGCAAUUUACAUUUGUAUAUGGUCUUGCUUCAGCAAGUAAACGUUAGUUCAACGUUCCAAAAGAUGUGAACUGUGAUGAACUGCGCUGGUCUAACAUCCACUAGGGUUAAAUCUGUAAACCCGUCAUUUAUACAGAUUCACGUUUGUUUGAAAUUUAAAAACACAUGAAGUUACUCAAAUUGCGAUGAACAACAGUGAAAAAGUUUCUUUUUACUCGCAGACUUGAAAAUCAAAGUUUGAAAAUUGAGUACAAAUCAAGUUGGAUCUCACACCAAUCUCAACAUUCCACUUGUUGACAUUUCGACUAACGUGUUGAGAAUUGAGACCUGCACAGAUGAAAAUUCUGGUCGUAAACACUUGUAAAACUCUGAUGAAUUAGCUUAAACAAGAUGCAUGUGACAUGGAAGACUUUAGUUAUAAGAAAAAAUAAGUCUAACUUGUGCGGGAACCAGGCCCAACCACUUCUGCUCUGACUUGCACUUGCUGGAACAACACCAUCCAACGGAGGAGAUCCCUUAGCGAAGCUCCAACACCGAGCUAAACAAAAACAACAGCGAUAAAAGAUGAACGACGUGAAAAAACCCAUAGAAGGAAGAUUCGAUAUUAGAAGAUUGAACACUGACUAUUGUCAAAGAAAACGAUAGUGUGACUCCGCUCUGUGUGUAUGUGGCAGGAAUGUGGUUCCUCGCUUAAAAGAUCGAGCUUCGUUCGCCAUGUGGAGUGGCGGCAGCUUAGUCGUGACCCAACGCAAGUAGCUUUGCAAAUAGUUUUCCUACGAGCCCAGCCCACCCGCGCUGCUACUGCACAGUUGCCAGUGCCAUGGGCAGUCGGAGUAUAAAUUUUGUACCGGCGCUAGAGUUGGGAAGUCAGAGAAUGUAGUCGUGGCAGCGUGGUGAGCCGAGUGCGUGCCGUUUGGCAGUAAGCCGGGAAGGAAGCGUGACCCGCGGGUGCACCCGGAGUCAUGCUGCAGCAUGCGGCACAUUGCAACAUAGUAAAUCUUCAUGUACAAAAAUACAUAAGCACUAUUUUAUUAUUGUUUUGCAAUCAACGUGUGAAGGAAUGGAGGAAUUCCAGUGUGCGAAGCCCUGAUAUAGCUCCGAAUCCUCGCACCUUGGGGGGGGAUACGACAGAGGGAGAAAAUCAGCUGGGCAAAGGCGGGGGAAGGGAGAGUGGCUGGCUGGGCCAGUGGGCAUGGGAGCUGCUGCUCUGAAACUGCAUUCCACAUGGCAACACUCUGCAGGCAACAACGCUAUCACGAGGCUGAGGUGCUGUUGAAUGAUGGCACAGUCCCCCUGGAAUGAAAGACGACGCCCUUGGAACUUGCAGCGGAACACGGGGAACCUUGCAAAGCUACCAAUCCAGGAGCAGUGCGUGGACAAGACUGGCGAGGAGGCAGAGAAGGGGAGAGAGAGAGAGCGAGAGAGCAAGACAAAGUUGGGCGAUGAGGAAUGGGUGCUUGGCUUUUCCUCCUAUCCUUGCCUCCCAUGCUUUGCCCGGGAUUCCAUACCGCCGCGUCCUUCGCCUCCGCCCCCCGUAAUCUCGAUCGCCGUGAAAUAAUCUUCCUUUGCACCGCGCCUCCCCAUUCCAUUCCACCAGCAACGCUUGCGAAGCUCUCCAAGACUCAAAGCAACACAUCAGUCGGAACUACGAGAAGGCAUUCUAUAGAGAGAAAAAACAAAAACAAAACAGAAAAAGGACUCGCCGUUGACCGCAAGAAAGGGUUGAGAUGUGGCUUGCGAGCAAGAAAGGGUUGAGAUGAUGCUUCAAUAGCUUGAGAUGUGCAUCCACAACGGAAAACCUAAUUUCGGAUGUGGCUUCUUUGAUUGCGUGUGUGUGUCUGUGUAUGUGUUUUAGGCUUGUAGCUUCAUGAAUGUAAACUUGAGAUUAGGGUUUUGUACUCUUCUGCCUACAAAGUGGCUUAGCUUCUUCUCGUUUAGCAGCAAAUGUGUGUAUGAAUUUGCAAUCUCUUCCACAUUUGCUUAUUGUUGUUUUAAACGCAAAGUUCCAAAUCAGUGAUUUGUUACGAGACUUGAGAUUGUAUGUCUUUUCUGUUUUUUCUUCAUGUUGUGUUUAGUUGUCUAUAUCUUGUUUGUUCUUAAAAAAAAUGGUGAACUUAUUCUAUGUAUUAAAGAUAAUUGAAGACCUUUCUUGAACACAUCCCAUACAAUUAUGAGGAAAAUGAACCAUUCUUUUGUUGCACGCAGACUUCAAAUACUAAAAGACAAUGUUGAAAGACUGGUUUCUAUAUGUAUUCAUACACAUGACGAAUUGUAAUUUUUCAACUACAUAUAAAUUAGUUUUUCUUCGUUCUUGAUUUAUUGUUGUUGUUGUCACAGUUAUUUCUCUUAUCAAAUUGUAUGCAUUGCAUGGCAUGGCAUGGCAUGAUACCACCCAACUAAUGGAUAAAUAGAGAAAUCUGAAACUUAAACCAUAAACUUAAUGAGGAAAUAGGGUUGAUCCCCCCCCCCCACUUUACCCUCUAUCAUAUUUGCCACAAAAUGAAUCUUUUUAGUGUGGUCACUCUGUAUAGUGAAGUGACCCUACAAAGUGAGAAUCAACUUAAUUAAUUCUUCCACUCUACUACUUAAAAGUUGGGGUAGCUUAUUUAAGGGUGCCAUGUGGGCUAUGGUUGGAUGUCAUAUGGACUAGAGUUCGAUGCCCCCACCUUCACCAACAUCUUUGUCUCUCA